CGCAUCUGUGCAUGCAGCAUAUCAAUAAGCGGAGGAAAAGAAACUAACAAGGAUUCCCCUAGUAACGGCGAGUGAAGCGGGAAGAGCUCAAAUUUGAAAUCUUAAAGGGUUUCCCUUUACGAAUUGUAGUUUAAAGAAGUGUUUUCUGUUGAGGUUUUGGUAAAAGUUCUUUGGAAUAGGACAUCAUAGAGGGUGAGAAUCCCGUAUUUGACCUUUACUUUCAACUUUGUGAUACACUUUCAAAGAGUCGGAUUGUUUGGGAAUGCAGUCCAAAAUGGGUGGUAAAUUUCAUCUAAAGCUAAAUAUUGGCGAGAGACCGAUAGCGAACUAAGUACCGUGAGGGAAAGAUGAAAAGAACUUUGAAAAGAGAGUUAAACAGUACGUGAAAUUGUCAAAAGGGAAGCGUUUGACACCAGUGUUGUUUUUCUGAAAAUCAAUUAAAGAACUGUUUAUGCUAAGUUGUUUAGACUUUAUCAGCUAUCUGCUUAGUUUUGAGCUUUUCUUUAAUGCACUUUUCAGUUAACAAGUCAACAUCAAUUUCUUUUGCUGUAAAAAAGCUUGAGGAAGGUGGCUUGAGAUUCGUCUUAAGUGUUUAUAGCCUCUUGCCUAUGCAGUCGGAGAGAUUGAGGUCUGCAGCGUAGAUCCUUCGGGGCUAAAUGCAUUUGUGCUAAGUUAUAGCAUUUUAUAGACAACUUGUUGACUAUGAUUUGUCUUGUAGCUUACUCGCUUAUGUUAUUUUACCUACGCUUAGGAUGUUGAAGAUGUAGCACAUCAUACACGCAUGACACACUGCAUAUCAAUAAGCGGAGGAAAAGCUGUUACCUACGCUUAGGAUGUUGAAGAUGUAGCACAUCAU
rnacentral:rRNA from 1 species